UAUAUUUAGUAUUGUAAUGUUUCAAUAUCUCUCACAGACAGCGCUACACUGGGCUGCGAAACAUGGUAAAGAAGACAUGACCACAAUGUUGGCAGAAGCAGGGGCUGACAUCAGUAUAAAAGCACAUGCUCAGAGCAAAGCAAUUUCACUGAAUUACCAGGCAAUUAUGAUUCUGUCAUUAGAUUUUGUUGCUGUAACCUCAGUUAAUUAGUGUCCCGUCUUUCUCUCCCCCUCUUCUCUUCGUUCUGUCACUCUCUGAUUCUGUUGUGUUGUGUUUGUUAUGACUGGGACAUGGGCACUAGGGGGGUGGGGGGUGAAAUUUUCCUUCACCCUGUCCAUUUCCUUUUCAUUUCUGUUUUGUGGUGAGAUUGAUCACUAGAGAUAUUUAAAAUAGAA